UACGCUAGUCUCGGGACUUAUUGAACGAUGUCUUACAUGGUACCCAACGCGGUGUAUGUGUGUGCGUUGGCCAUUGCACUGUCAGUUCGGUUUGUUUUGAUCCCGGCGCUGAUGGCAUCUUAGCAAGUCGCAGUAAAUUCGCCAAAUGUCUGCAGAAGGUAUCGCCGAAAGAAUUUGCUGCAGGAGGAUGCCGUAAAUGUUUGUAAGUACCACGAAGUGAGCUGAGCAACGUCCCGUCUCGAGAAGGAAGCGCGUGAAAUGGUGCCGUAGGACGCUGGAGAAGUAUAGUGAUGUGCAUGUGAUAAUUAUAGUGUUGUUUUUAUCGUGUUAUACGAUUUGUGAGAA